GACGAACGCUGGCGGCGUGCUUAACACAUGCAAGUCGAACGGAAAGGCCCUGCUUUUGUGGGGUGCUCGAGUGGCGAACGGGUGAGUAACACGUGAGUAACCUGCCCUUGACUUUGGGAUAACUUCAGGAAACUGGGGCUAAUGCCGGAUAGGAGCUCCUGCUGCAUGGUGGGGGUUGGAAAGUUUCGGCGGUUGGGGAUGGACUCGCGGCUUAUCAGCUUGUUGGUGGGGUAGUGGCUUACCAAGGCUUUGACGGGUAGCCGGCCUGAGAGGGUGACCGGCCACAUUGGGACUGAGAUACGGCCCAGACUCCUACGGGAGGCAGCAGUGGGGAAUAUUGCACAAUGGGCGGAAGCCUGAUGCAGCAACGCCGCGUGCGGGAUGACGGCCUUCGGGUUGUAAACCGCUUUCGCCUGUGACGAAGCGUGAGUGACGGUAAUGGGUAAAGAAGCACCGGCUAACUACGUG
rnacentral:rRNA from 1 species